rnacentral:ncRNA from 1 species
UACAGGUUUGGUCCUGGCCUUUCUAUUAGCUCUCAGUAAGACUACACAUGCAAGCAUCCACGGCCCUGUGAGAAUGCCCUCCAGACUAUAAAACAAGAGGAGCGAGUAUCAAGCACGCACAAGCAGCUCAAAACACUUUGCUCAGCCACACCCCCACGGGAAACAGCAGUGACAAACCUUUAGCAAUAAACGAAAGUUUAACUAAGUUAUACUGACACCCAGAGUCGGUCAAUUUCGUGCCAGCCACCGCGGCCAUACGAUUGACUCAAGUUAAUAGAGUCCGGCGUAAAGAGUGUUUAAGACUUACUAUUAAUAAAGCUAACCUGUAACUAAGUUGUAGAAAACCCUGGUUAUGGUAAAAUAUCCUACGAAAGUGGCUUUAUUAUCCUGAACACACUAUAGCUAAGGUACAAACUGGGAUUAGAUACCCCACUAUGCUUAGCCCUAAACUUCAAUAACUUAAUUAACAAAAUUAUUCGCCAGAACACUACAAGCCACAGCUUGAAACUCAAAGGACCUGGCGGUGCUUUAUAUCCUUCUAGAGGAGCCUGUUCUGUAAUCGAUAAACCCCGAUAAACCUCACCACCCCUUGCCCUCAGCCUGUAUACCGCCAUCUUCAGCAAACUCCCUAAAGAUAGCAUAGUAAGCAGAAGUAUUAUCAUAAAAACGUUAGGUCAAGGUGCAGCCAAUGGGGCGGGAGUAAUGGGCUACAUUUUCUAAACCAGAAAAUCACACGACAGCCUUUAUGAAAUUUAAAGUCCUAAGGUGGAUUUAGCAGUAAAUCAAGAAUAGAGAGCUUGAUUGAAAUAAGGCCAUUAAGCACGCACACACCGCCCGUCACCCUCCUCAAACAUCACACUAAUAGUGCACUAACAACAAAUAACUAUACGCGGAUAUAGAGGGGAUAAGUCGUAACAUGGUAAGCGUACUGGAAAGUGCGCUUGGAUAAAC